rnacentral:lncRNA from 1 species
CUCUAUUUAUCCCUUUUGCACGGUCUUGUGUUAAUUUUAUUGAUUUAUAUUAUUCUUUGAGAAUCGACGCUACGCGUCUGGCGCCCAACUUAAUUAUUUUGUUGUAGUUUAAUAUUGCGGAUAAGUAGAGAAUCGCGCCAAAGUGUCAACGGUAAGUCCUCAUCCGAAAGUAACAACAUUUAGCGUUACAAAUUAGCGCUCGACGAGGGGCAGAAAAGACUUAACGUUACAAUGUAUAUAUAUACACAAAAAAUAUAAUAUUAGAAA